AUAACUAACUAGGAUUCCCUUAGUAACGGCGAGUGAACCGGGAUGAGCUCAAAUUUGAAAUCUGGCGUCUUUCAGGCGUCCGAGUUGUAAUCUAUAGAGGCGUUUUCCGCGCCGGACCGCGUCCAAGUCUCUUGGAAUAGAGUAUCAAAGAGGGUGACAAUCCCGUACUUGACGCGACAACCGGUGCUCUGUGAUACGUUCUCAAUGAGUCGAGUUGUUUGGGAAUGCAGCUCUAAAUGGGUGGUAAAUUCCAUCUAAGGCUAAAUAUUGGCGAGAGACCGAUAGCGAACAAGUACCGUGAGGGAAAGAUGAAAAGCACUUUGGAAAGAGAGUUAAACAGCACGUGAAAUUGUUAAAAGGGAAACGAUUGAAGUCAGUCGUGUGGGAAGUAUUCAGCCGUCUCUGGCGGUGUAUUUGCUUCUCACGGGUCAACAUCAGUUUGAUCCGGUAGAAAAAGGCGGGAAGAAGGUGGCACCCUCGGGUGUGUUAUAGCUUCCUGUCAUAUGUGCCGGACCAGACUGAGGAACGCAGCUUGCAGCAAUGCCGGGGUUCGCCCACGUACAAGCUUAGGAUGUUGACAUAAUGGCUUUAAACGAC
rnacentral:rRNA from 1 species